rnacentral:rRNA from 1 species
AAACUUAAGGAAUUGACGGGGCCGCACAAGCAGCGGAGCGUGUGGUUAAUUCGAUGCUACACGAAGAACCUUACCAGGGUUUGACAUGCAAGUGGUAGGAAGCCGAAAGGUGACCGACCUUCGGGGAGCUUGCACAGGUGCUGCAUGGCUGUCGUCAGCUCGUGUCGUGAGAUGUUCGGUUAAGUCCGCUAACGAGCGCAACCCUUGCUGUGUGUUACAUGUGUCACACGGGACUGCCGGUCUUAAACCGGAGGAAGGUGGGGAUGACGUCAAGUCAGCAUGGCCUUUAUGUCCUGGGCUACACACACGCUACAAUGGCCGGUACAAUAGGUUGCGAAGCCGCGAGGCGGAGCCAAUCCUCAAAGCCGGCCUCAGUUCAGAUUGCAGGCUGCAACCCGCCUGCAUGAAGAUGGAGUUGCUAGUAACCGCAGGUCAGCUAUACUGCGGUGAAUACGUUCCCGGGGCUU